rnacentral:rRNA from 1 species
UAUCGGAACGUGCCAGUCGUGGGGAUAACGUAGCGAAAGUUACGCUAAUACCGCAUACGAUCUAUGGAUGAAAGCGGGGAUCGCAAGACCUCGCGCGAUUGGAGCGGCCGAUAUCAGAUUAGGUAGUUGGUGAGGUAAAGGCUCACCAAGCCGACGAUCUGUAGCUGGUCUGAGAGGACGACCAGCCACACUGGAACUGAGACACGGUCCAGACUCCUACGGGAGGCAGCAGUGGGAAUUUUGGACAAUGGACGCAAGUCUGAUCCAGCCAUUCCGCGUGCAGGAUGAAGGCCCUCGGGUUGUAAACUGCUUUUGUACGGAACGAAAAGGUUUCUAUUAAUACUAGGAGCUCAUGACGGUACCGUAAGAAUAAGCACCGGCUAACUACGUG